rnacentral:sRNA from 1 species
GGGAAUGAAUCCCUAUUUUACAUGUUGAUUAUCUUAGGAGGAACCUGCCUUUUUAACUAGUUUUCAGAGCAUAGGACUAAACUGUCAUUUUAUAGCAUAAAAAAAUUGAUACAUAAUAUUUUACAUAUUUAUAGGGUACAUGCGAUGUUUUGUUAUAUGCUGUUCUCUAACUAACAUUUUUUAAACUGGGAGUAGGUUUGUCUGCCAUUGUGGAUUUCCUGGGCAGAGUGGAGUGAAGGUGCCAAAAGCCAAGAAGACACUGAGGCAGUCUUUAAGAAAGCUCUCUUAGCUGUCAUAGGUGCCGACUCAGUAACCCUGAAGAAUAAGUACCUGGAUUGGGCUUAUCGAAGUGGUGGCUACAAAAAGGCCAGAGCUGUGUUUAAAAGUUUACAGGAGAGCCGACCAUUUUCAGUUGACUUUUUCAGGAAAAUGAUUCAGUUUGAAAAGGAGCAAGAAUCCUGCAAUAUGGCGAACAUAAGAGAAUAUUAUGAGAGAGCUUUGAGAGAGUUUGGAUCCGCAGAUUCUGAUCUUUGGAUGGAUUAUAUGAAAGAAGAAUUGAACCACCCCCUUGGUAGACCUGAGAACUGUGGACAGAUCUACUGGCGAGCGAUGAAAAUGUUGCAGGGAGAGUCAGCAGAGGCAUUUGUAGCUAAACAUGCUAUGCAUCAGACUGGCCAUUUAUGAAGAUGAACAA